UUGGAGUCUGUUUUUGAAGCUUUUUUUUGUUUUUUUUUUUUUGUAAAGAAUCUCUCUUUUAUACAGGAAAGUGUUUCCAUGCUCUUAAUCGUUCUGAUUGAUGUUUUCUGAACCCCCUCUUAUUCCACAAAAUCAUUAUUGAGGUGGGGUGGUGAGUAUUGAACAUAGUAUUCCACAUCGUGACUGUACUAUUAUUCUGAAUAUAUUGGUAUUAUACAAUUUACCAUAUGAUUCUCCACCACUUUUCUUAUGCAUCCUAACAUCUUGGGUUUUUGACCAGUUGCACAUUGUGCAGAAGUCUUUAUUGAGCUUUUCCUCAGGGAUACCCAGAUUCCUAUUCUGAGUUGAUACAAUUGUUUUAGAAACCUGUAAUGUGUAUGAGCGGUACACUUUUUUUUAACAUAACUUUGCAUUUAAUUUAAUUUGCCAUCAUGUGACCCAUUCACCUAGAUUGGUUAAGUUCCUCAUAGUCUUCUUCGGACUUGAUUAACCUAAAUAAUCUUUUGUCAUCUUCAAAUGUCACUAUGUUGUUGUUAAUCCUCCCCACUUUCCAGAUUAUUUAUAAAUAUAUUAAACACUGUUUAUUGGCUUCACUAGGAUUAGAUUUCCAAAUUGUGAAGCAUCUCUCAUUUGCUCAAAUAACCUCUUAAACUUUGCUUAUUGGUCAUAUUUGUUUACUUCUUGCCUUUCUAAAUCCUAUUUUGUUCAGUAGCACACAUUCCUUCUCGAAAUCUAUUGUUUCCUCUAACUAACAUUCAUGCUACAUCUAAAACUUUUACUUCUUUUAAUUUUAAGUCCUUUCUGACUAAUCAUCUGACUUUAUUGAUAUCUUCCUUUCUCAAGUUUAGUGUCAUUAUGUCAGUUUUUGAUACCCUACCUGCUCUUUGGAUGUUGAACCUAAUUACACUGUUGUCACUAUUACUGAGAGGCUCAGCUACUUUGUACAUUUUCCUGAAGAGGAAAUAUGUGGAAACCAAAAGUUUGUCUCAGAAGUUUGUCCAAUAAAAGAUAUUACCUUUCCCAC